AUGAACGCUGGCGGCGUGCCUAAUACAUGCAAGUCGAGCGAACGGACGAGAAGCUUGCUUCUCUGAUGUUAGCGGCGGACGGGUGAGUAACACGUGGAUAACCUACCUAUAAGACUGGGAUACUUCGGGAAACCGGAGCUAAUACCGGAUAAUAUUUUGAAACGCAUGGUUCAAAAGUGAAAGACGGUCUUGCUGUCACUUAUAGAUGGAUCCGCGCUGCAUUAGCUAGUUGGUAAGGUAACGGCUUACCAAGGCAACGAUGCAUAGCCGACCUGAGAGGGUGAUCGGCCACACUGGAACUGAGACACGGUCCAGACUCCUACGGGAGGCAGCAGUAGGGAAUCUUCCGCAAUGGGCGAAAGCCUGACGGAGCAACGCCGCGUGAGUGAUGAAGGUCUUCGGAUCGUAAAACUCUGUUAUUAGGGAAGAACAUAUGUGUAAGUAACUGUGCACAUCUUGACGGUACCUAAUCAGAAAGCCACGGCUAACUACGUG
rnacentral:rRNA from 1 species